AACGCGAAGAACCUUACCAGCUCUUGACAUCCCGAUGAAAGCAUUAGAGAUAGUGCCCCUCUUCGGAGCAUCGGAGACAGGUGGUGCAUGGUUGUCGUCAGCUCGUGUCGUGAGAUGUUGGGUUAAGUCCCGCAACGAGCGCAACCCUUGAUCUUAGUUGCCAGCAGGUUAAGCUGGGCACUCUAAGGUGACUGCCGGUGACAAACCGGAGGAAGGUGGGGAUGACGUCAAAUCAUCAUGCCCCUUAUGAGCUGGGCUACACACGUACUACAAUGGCCGGUACAACGGGCUGCGAAACCGCGAGGUGGAGCGAAUCCUUAAAAGCCGGUCUCAGUUCGGAUUGCAGGCUGCAACUCGCCUGCAUGAAGUCGGAAUUGCUAGUAAUCGCGGAUCAGCAUGCCGCGGUGAAUACGUUCCCGGGCCUUGUACACACCGCUACAGU
rnacentral:rRNA from 1 species